GAAGGAGAGACAAGAAACUGGUAAUAUUGGUUGCCUCCAGGAAGGGAAACUGGAUGUCUGAGGGCAGAGCCAUUAAGAUCUGCUGGGAUUGUGUUACACUGGAUAAUAGCUGCUACAAAGAAGUCUCCUGUGAGUUUGGUUAGUGCAAGUCCAAACACCUCACAGAACUCCAGUCAAGGUAGAAGUGUUCAAAAAGUGAAGCAGAUAUAAAAGAAUAGACCAAUAGUCUCUAGCAUCUACUGGAGAUAGCAAUGAAGGUCACUGACUUUAAAAGAACAAAUUCUUCGGGCCGGCCCGGUGGCGCACUGGAUAAGUGCGCCGCU